AUUGAACGCUGGCGGCAGGCCUAACACAUGCAAGUCGAGCGGAUGAAGGGAGCUUGCUCCUGGAUUCAGCGGCGGACGGGUGAGUAAUGCCUAGGAAUCUGCCUGGUAGUGGGGGAUAACGUCCGGAAACGGGCGCUAAUACCGCAUACGUCCUGAGGGAGAAAGUGGGGGAUCUUCGGACCUCACGCUAUCAGAUGAGCCUAGGUCGGAUUAGCUAGUUGGUGGGGUAAGGGCCUACCAAGGCGACGAUCCGUAACUGGUCUGAGAGGAUGAUCAGUCACACUGGAACUGAGGCACGGUCCAGACUCCUACGGGAGGCAGCAGUGGGGAAUAUUGGACAAUGGGCGAAAGCCUGAUCCAGCCAUGCCGCGUGUGUGAAGAAGGUCUUCGGAUUGUAAAGCACUUUAAGUUGGGAGGAAGGGCAGUAAGUUAAUACCUUGCUGUUUUGACGUUACCAACAGAAUAAGCACCGGCUAACUUCGUG
rnacentral:rRNA from 1 species